rnacentral:lncRNA from 1 species
AGUCCCCAGGAGCUCCAGGAGGUCUAGCCAAUUGACAUUGUUGCUCCCUCCAUGGAGCUACAAACAAGUCCCUUCUCCAACUCCUCCAUCAGGGACCCGGAGCUCAGUCCAGUGGUUGGCUGUGAGCUUCCUCCUCUGUAUUUGUCAGGCUCUGGCAGAGCCUCAAGGAGACAGCUCAAUACAUUUUUCAUCUUUCUACUUCAAACUCAAUAACACUUCCAUUACCCCUAGCAGUUACCAUCCUUUCUGCCUCUUUGAAUUUAACAAUCACAAGUAUAUCAUAUAAGUGGAAUGUUUCUUCCAUUUUUGUUAUUACACGUUUAUUUCUAUGUAUGUGCACUUAUAAGUGCUACAGCACAUGUGUUGGGGAUUGAGGGAGCCUUGGAAAAAUCAGUUCUCUCCUUCUACCAUAUAGGUCUUGGAAUUAAACUCGGUGUCAGGGUUGGUGGCAAGUACCACCCUGGGCCAUCUCACUCACUCUUAUUUGUCUUUUUAUGACUGGCUUCUUUCACCUUAGCAUAAAAUCGAGGGUCAUCCGUGUACAGUGCAUGUCAGGAUGCCUUUCCUUCUAAAGGCUAGAUAAUUUUCCAUUCAUUUCCCCAUUCCAUUUUGUUCAUUCCUCUACUGGAACUUGAGGUUUUCCCAUCUAAUUAAAAAUUUUAAUUAUGUUUGUUUAUUUGUGGGUGUGUGUAUACAUGCAUGUGCAUGCUAUUGUGUGUGUAUGUAGGUUAGAGAACAGCUUGAAGAAGUUGGUUCUCAGGUUCUAGUAUGUGGCUUCUGGGGAUUGAACUCACAUUGGCAGGCUUGGCAGCAAGCACCUUUAACCUGCUAAGCCAUCUUACCAGCCCCCAUUUUAAAAAAAUGUAUGCAUGUGUCAUUAUGUGUUUGUAGGGGGUGGGCAGAGAACAACCUUAGGUGUCAUCCUUGGGAACUCCAUUCCUCCACCUUUUAAACAUGCUCAAUAAAUAAAUAUAUUCCCUUGAGACUUCUGCCUAACACAUGUUUAUGUUUGAAAAGUGAUAAACAUAAAAAUAACUAAAAUAAAAAAUCAUAACACAAUUCAGGCUGCUCUCAGAAUUUCCCAUUGUUUUUCUAUAAGCACAUAUAGCUACUUGACUGAACUGUGGAUUUACAUUCUCUAAAUGAUUCCCUGUGUCAAAGAUAUCACCCUUUAAGUUAAAAUAAACAUUUUAGAUGACGAAGAUAUGUGCCGAAUAGGUUAAGAAGGUGUUUAACCUAUUUGGCAAAUCAGGAGUCUUUUCAAUAAAUUCAAUUGUGGACUCUGGUAAAUUAAGUUUUGUGCUCUGAUACAGUUAUAGUUUCUACUUCAAAUGUUAGAUUCAUAACUUUGCUCAACUGUAACAUAAUUCACCCAUGUUUUCAGGCUUUCUAUCACUUUGUAGUAAACCUGGGUUAAUGGCACCCUCAGAAACUUCAGGUUUUAUUUCUGCUCUCUACACUCACAAUCAAGGGAUUCUUCUCAAAAUAUAUACAUUAGUCAGUCUUUACCUCAAGGUGGCCCUCCACUUUUUCUUAUUUUUGAAAUUAUAAUUACAUAAUUUCUCCGUUUCCUUCCUUCUCUCAUAUAUAUCCACUUUUUGCUCUCUUUGAAAUUCAUGGCCUCUUUUUUCAUUAAUAGUAUAUAUGUAUGUAUAUAUACAUAUAUUCCUAAAUACAUAAAUACAACCUGCUACAGCCUGUAUCACGUGUGUAUGUUUUCAGAAUUGACCUUUGGUAUUGGGUAACUCAUUGGUAUGCUUUUCCUUGGGGAAGAUUGUUUCUUCUGCUCCCAGAAUUCCUCAGUUGCCUGUAGUUCUUUGUGUAGGGUUGAGACCUCGUGGUCUCCCCUCUACCUCCACAUUAUGGGUGGAGUUUCUGCCAUUACUAGGAGAUACAAUCUCAUAGUAACCCCCACCCCAUACUCUUUCUGGCUUUUAAAAUCUUUCCUCCUCCAUUGUUUGCAGUGUUCCCUGAGCCUUAAGUGCCAGGAGUAUUUUGGAGAUGGAUCCAUUAGGCCUGGGCUCCACAACUGUAUUUUGAUUGGAUGUGUUUUUCUGUAAUGGUUUUUAUUAUAAAGAGAAGUUUCCUUGGUAAGGGGUAAAGACUACACUUAUCUGCCCUCUCCUUUUGAGAUAUGGUUUCUCAUUGGUCUAGAACUCAACCAAUUAAUCUAGAUUGGCUGGCUAGUAGGUUCCAGAAUCCUCCUGUUUCCACUUCCGCAGCACUGGGAUUACAAGUGUGCAUCACUAUGUCUGGCUUUUUUGGCAGGUCCUCAUUGCUUGCAAGGCCAAUACGUACAUUACUGACUGAAGUAUCUUCCCAGAUUCCCCCUCCCCCCUCCCGCCCCCCGCUCCCCAACCCCGCUUUGGGGGCUAUUGCAACUCUACUACAAGGCGAUAGAGAAAAGAAUUGAUGAAGCCCAGUCUGACCUUGGAUUCACUAUGUAGUUACCUUCCAAGUACUAGGGUUCAUGGUAUAUGCCAGCACACCUGAUUUAUGUAUUCCUGGGUAUUCCUGGGUGUUAGACCUGUCCUCACGCUCACUUUGUGCUUAUAAAAACAUUCUACCAACUGAACUAUAUCCCUAGUCCUGAGGAAAAGCAUUUAAAAACUCAUUUUGAAGCAGAAUCUUACUGUGUAGCCCUAGUGUCUCAGAAAUCACCAUGUAGAGCAGGAGGGUCUUGAAUUCAGCGAAGUGUGUCGGCCUGUGCGUCUGUAGUGCUGGAAUUAGAGGUGUGUGCUACCACAUAUGACUGAACACUUUUUAAAUAUUUGUAUUCCUUGAGAAUUUCAUACAUGUAUAGAAUGUAUUUUGAUCAUAGCCACCAUUCACUCCCCUUUCUAGCUCAUCCUGGAUCUCCCUCCACAGUCACCUUCCAAAUCCUUAUCCGCUUUUAAAAAAAUAACCCACGGAGUCCAAUGAAUGCUGCUCAUAUGUGUAUGGGUGUAGGGCUAUCCACUACAGCAUGGGAACCUAUUGAAGGCCAUC